UUUAAGUGAAGAGUUUGAUCCUGGCUCAGAGUGAACGCUGGCGGUAGGCCUAACACAUGCAAGUCGAACGGCAGCACAGAGGAGCUUGCUCCUUGGGUGGCGAGUGGCGGACGGGUGAGGAAUACAUCGGAAUCUACUCUGUCGUGGGGGAUAACGUAGGGAAACUUACGCUAAUACCGCAUACGACCUACGGGUGAAAGCAGGGGAUCUUCGGAC
rnacentral:rRNA from 1 species